rnacentral:ncRNA from 1 species
AAAUGCAAAGAUAAAAACGCAACGUACAAUCAUUUAUGUACCAGAGCCGGUAGGUAGCCCGGCCGUCCUAUGUAAAUAGGGUAAGUAACCUGCCCCUCCGGGUUGUCCAUUCUUUGCCUAAUUAAU